UGCGUAGGGGGCAAGCGUUGUCCGGAUUUAUUGGGCGUAAAGAGCGUGUAGGCGGUUCGGUAGGUCCGUUGUGAAAACUCGAGGCUCAACCUCGAGACGCCGAUGGAAACCAUCGAACUAGAGUCCGGAAGAGGAGAGUGGAAUUCCUGGUGUAGCGGUGAAAUGCGCAGAUAUCAGGAGGAACACCAAUGGCGAAGGCAGCUCGCUGGGACGGUACUGACGCUGAGGCGCGAAAGCGUGGGGAGCAAACAGG
rnacentral:rRNA from 1 species